AUUGAACGCUGGCGGCAGGCCUAACACAUGCAAGUCGAGCGGAUGAAGGGAGCUUGCUCCUGGAUUCAGCGGCGGACGGGUGAGUAAUGCCUAGGAAUCUGCCUGGUAGUGGGGGAUAACGUCCGGAAACGGGCGCUAAUACCGCAUACGUCCUGAGGGAGAAAGUGGGGGAUCUUCGGACCUCACGCUAUCAGAUGAGCCUAGGUCGGAUUAGCUAGUUGGUGGGGUAAAGGCCUACCAAGGCGACGAUCCGUAACUGGUCUGAGAGGAUGAUCAGUCACACUGGAACUGAGACACGGUCCAGACUCCUACGGGAGGCAGCAGUGGGGAAUAUUGGACAAUGGGCUGAAGCCUGAUCCAGCCAUGCCGCGUGUGUGAAGAAGGUCUUCGGAUUGUAAAGCACUUUAAGUUGGGAGGAAGGGCAGUAAGUUAAUACCUUGCUGUUUUGACGGUACCAACAGAAUAAGCACCGGCUAACUUCGUG
rnacentral:rRNA from 1 species